CCGACGUGUUGUUCUCUCAGCAACCUACCACGUGUCAGCUUCAAGCAUUUCCUUCUCCACACCCUUUUCAGAGUUCAAUUUAGCAGCUCACUUUCCUUCCCGUUUUCUCCCAGUUUGUCAGUAAAGUCAAGAAUCAUGAGUUCUACAAACUGGGGGAAUCGAAACUCUUUCAAAAUUCAAAUUGAAUCUAUUCUCUCUCUCUCUAUUUUUGUUUUCAAAUUCUGGAUCUCUCUCAAAAUUCUUUUCCUCUUCUCUUUCUGCUCCGGAAACGAACCCAAUUUCCUCUUCUCUUGGUGCUUUCUCUAAUCUAUCGGAUUUGUGAAUUUCCGUUUGGGUAGAAAACAUGCAUAUCAUCCGCACGCAUCAACAAACACCCCGCUUUCGAGCGCUUCAUUCUCCGUCCUCCCUUCAAUAUCGGCAUUCACAGUCACUAUUUUCACCUCCCUUAUCACAUCAGCGACGAGGCCGAUUUGAGAUCAGAACAAAUUCAGCGAACUGAUCCUCAAGUUGUAAUGGGUCUCCCCCUUCUCGGAACUCUCUCUGACGCCGGCGUGCUGGUGCGAGACGUCGUCAACCUCCAAGACGGUGGCUUCCAGCGCCGACUGAAGCUUCGUCUUUAUCCUAUUGGCGUGCUGGUGUUGUUGACGAUUUAGGGUUUUGGCAAUUGGAAAAGGGGCACAAUUUCCUCUUUCAUCCCUUUUUGUUCUUCUUUUUACGAGAUUAGAACAAGAGAGAGAAGAGCUUGAAGACGGAAUUCGAUGAACUGCGAAAGCGGAGAAACACUAUCUUGCUCGCUUGGCUACUUCUUUGCGGUCCUCACUCGCAGUCUCUUCCAUCCUCGAGGUUUUACCAUAGGAGAUGGGAAUUUAACAUAAAUUUUUGGAAUAGGAGUAGAUGAGAAAUCAGAACAAGUUUUGAGACCUUCAAUGUGUUACUUGGAGUAGGAGAUUUGCAAGUUUUGUCUAUCUCAGAUUUGGGUUUAUUCCUCCUCUCUUUUGCCCAUUUAUCUUUGCUCAUUUACUUCUUUCAACCCUGUUUGUUCAUAUUUUUCAAAGAUCAGAAUGAGAGAGAAAAAAAGGGCUUCAAGAUGGAAGAUGGUGAAUUGUGAAACCUUCCCAUGAACUGUAAUGUCCUCUUUGUUGUUGAACAAUCCAUUUUUCUCAACCUUUAUGAUUUCUUUCGUUAUAUUGUACUUGGAUUUCAACUUUCUAUACUCAAGAUACUGGUUUAGUUUAUCAUCACAUGAUUCUCUGAACUGUAGACAGACAAUGCUUAUCAUGGUACAUUGAAUUCCUCAAUGAAAGUUUUGUUGGAUCAAAGCACGGGGAAGAUUUGUAUGUGCUUAUCAUUCAAGGGACUUUGAUCCAGGUGGGUCAGCUUCUUCACAUCCAUAUUUAUCUAAUCAGAUCUAUAUCAGCAAGUGAACCUUCUAGCUUGCAAAUUCCUGGGUUGGUAACAUAAUGGUGGUAAUUGAAGAUGACUGAUGUUGUCCAAUAGGAUUGACUCCAUUCCUGCAGAAGUCUCUUUAUUCAAGUUCGGGUGACUUUGGUCCUGCUAGAUAGUUGGGGCCCCAAGUUAUAAGUGCUUGGAGCUGCUUGCUGAUUUACCGUAUGGCUUCAACUUAGAUAUUUGCUCUUUGGGUAUAUAUGAGAAUCCACACAAAUAAAAAUUGUUGUCAUCAUGGUUGAUACACCAUAAUAAAAAAUUUGUGGGAUCUUGAUACAAAGAGGUGGCUGUGAUUUGGAUAUGCAUUACUUUGUGUUUGGCUGCGAGGAUUGAGUUGAACCUCUUGGCUUGUGGAUUAUAGACACCUUUUGGAUGUGCUUUGUUGUGAAUUGGAUGUGCUUUGUGAGUCAAUGUAUGAGGAAGAAGUUGAUUGAAGAGUUAAGACCAGUAAAGGAAUUGAGAGAGGGAGAGAAAAAAUCGUAGGAAUGAAACAAGGAAUACAGUGUUGCGAGAAUUGUAGAUGUCAAGCUCCAUGAAUUGUAAAGGUUGUGCUCUCAACAUUCGUCGCUCCCUCAAGUGAUUCCUAGGUGACUAGGUGAGUGCUUCUUCAAGGAUUGAAUUCAAUUUAAUUUAUUCAUCUAUAAUGCAAGUAUUGAGGAAGUAUGUUACCUUCCUUAUUUCAAUCAAGAAUGUUACCUUCCUGCACAAUCUCCUCCGGCUAUAAUGCCCCCACCCCUGCUAUAACUAAUGUUGCCAGCCAGGUCCACUUCACACCCAAAACAAUUCCCCAACAACCAAAGUGGAUAUUUUGUCCAUGUUUUUUCACUUGCAAACUCUCACCAAACCAAGCUUCUGCAAGUGAGAUGAACUUGCCGGUAUAUGUUUAUGAUUAUAUUCGCAUUGGGGAAGUUUACAAGUGGCUUUUCAGAGGGCCCAUUGACAAGGAAGUGGAAUGUACCAUUCUUGGUGUGCCUAAUCGGAAUUAGGCGAGGUUUGGUAGGGGUUGGAGGGCCUUCUGUUCGUCACAUGGAUUGAAGGCAGGGGAUGUGUUGACCUUCUUCUUAACCAGUGAAAUGUUUGUUGUUAUUGAUGUUUUAUUCAACAUUAAGCUGUGAUAGAAUGGCCUGUAUGUUCUUACUUAACGAACUGGAUUGUAUUUGUUGUUCUCUAUUAUGUACCGGACAAGUGUUGUUAUUUUACUUAGUUUACGAUGGCAUGGGUUGAACAAGUUGUUGUAUCAUCUGGUUUGUUGUCCACAAUUUCCCAAUCAUGAGUUGUCAUAUUAUAUAUAUGUAAGGAACAUUUUGUAGAAGAAAAUAUCUGGUUCUAAUCACCGUGCAAAGCACGGGCUUAGAU